AAGACUAUAGACCUGCGGAGUACCUGCGGAAGGAUCAUUAUUGAAUUAUGUUUCUAAAUGGGUUGUAGCUGGCUCGUCAGAGCAUGUGCACGCCUGUUUGGACUUCAUUUUCAUCCACCUGUGCACCUAUUGUAGUCUUUGGUUGGGUAUCAAGGAAGUGUCAGCCUAUCAGCACUUGCUGGAUGUGAGGACUUGCAGUGUGAAAGCUUUGCUGUCCUUUACUUGAUCAUGGAGUUGUUU
rnacentral:misc_RNA from 1 species